AGAGGGGCAAACGUUCGUCCAUCGUUGGAUUGGCACGCACAGUAAAUUCAUCUCCCGCUUUUCACCACAUUCGUCCGAUGCAGUAAUUUUUUGUUCACUCGUUUUCCUUCCAAAUAGGUCAAUGACAUGUGGGACUGAAUAAGUGCGGGUCCAGCGGCCAGAGGCAGCCACGCACGAUUGUUUGUGUCGCCUUCAUUCUCCUAUCCGCGGGGCAGCGGUGAAAACCUAGAUCGCGAGCCCCCCAGUCCCGUGCUCGCCUCCACCUCCCCAAUCCCCGGCCCCUCCUCUCCUCACAACACGAGCCGCCAAUCUCCUCCGCCGCCUCGGCACGCCCGUUCCUCCGGGCUUCUGCAAGAGCUCGUCGCGGAGGCGGCCGGCAGCGCGGGCCCGGGAGCAGCCGCGGGGCGCUGGAGCGCCGGCAGGUGACGGUCUCGGCCGGUCGCGGGUGUCGCCGCGUGGAUGCCGCGUCAGUGGUCGCCGCGGCACCUCCUCCAGGCGACAAUCGGUCGCGUGCGUCGUCGUGCGAUGAGGAGGUGGGCGGGCGCCGCCUCGGUUCGCUCGCCGGAGGAGGUACUGGAUCUGCGUGCACCGCGACAUGCUUCUGGGCUCCCUCGCCGGAGCACGCGCCGUCGACCUUGCCUCGUCACGUCGCCCCACCAUCCGCACGCAGCAGGAUCCGGAGGAGGUGACCAAUUUCCUGCCGUCGGUGCCCGCUAGAUCCGGUCGUCGCAGCCAGGAGAAGAACAUGCUGGCCGCCAGAACUCCUUCCCCACGUCCUCUUCCAAGACGCCGCCCCGACGCGCAACCAGGCCGGCGCACCAACGGGAAGAAGGACGCGACCUGCGUUCAUGUUAAUGGACAGUAGCCGAGGGAAGUUCUGCGGUGGGAUUGACAUUGCUUCUGCAGUUGGUCAAUCUUCCACUAAUCAAGAUCAUCUCCAGCCUUCCCCGCCACGCCUUGUCAGUUGCUUUAGCAGUUGGAGUACAAAAUAACAAGGUCACAUCUACGUCUCCGUUCUUUAUUCCUCAGUGCCAUCUCCGGAUGAUCUCUUCCGGUGAUUAUUUUCUUGUUUUCUCUCCAUGUAGGCUCUGACGAUCCCUGGAUCUGUUUUGUCAUGGAAUAUUUUCUUAUUGUACUUGCUUAUUUACUCCAGCGCUAUCAUUGAGUAAAUGUUUGAUUUUAUUUAUUUAUUUCAAUUCAUGCCUGUAUCUUUUGGUGGCAUUCCAAUUGAUGCAUAGAGUGAUACUUUUGUAUGAAUAAUGGCUCAGCCUGCGAAUCUUGAAUGAGUGUAGAUGUAUGCAGUUGUUCAUGCACAUGCCUGGGAUUCAGUGUUGGGUAGAUCGAUUAUUCUUUCUUGUCGUGGUAUGUUUGAUUGAAGUUACUGAAGUUGCAUCAUGGUUUACUAGCAGAGCAUGUUGUAACAUAAUUGGUAACUGUUGGCACUUUCAUGAACCCAUUACACCUCCUGGUGAAAUUACUUGAUAUGUUUGUGCAGCAUGAGAUUUGAAGGAAUAGGAUGAUUUGAUGUUGUUUUCUCUAUUUUUCAUUUAGGCUGUUACCUGCAAUGUUGGGCUCUUGUGUGUUACCUGCAAUGCUAGGCUCUUGUGAGAGCAUCCUUUCAUAUUUUCUCUUCUCUGGUAUGAUGAUGCUCCCCACUGUGUUCGAGUGGAUUGUGACGACGCUGGUGCUAUCGUGCCUCGUUGGUGCCGGUGGCCCGGGCUUCGCUUCUAUUAGUACAUCCUGAGUAGGGAAGAACACAUCGGCAUUCGGGUGGAUGGUGAUGGCGCUGGUACUGUCGUGAAUCAUCGGCGCCAGUGCCGAGGGAUUCACCAUCUACUACAGCCUGAGGCCGCUAUUCCAGUAAAGGAUUUGAUGUGCUAAAACAAUAAUGUGGAGAUACGUCAUAUGUCUGAUGAAAAAUAUAGCUAUAGCUAUUUUUUGUUUGUUUUAUCAGUGUCAUUUUAUGCUUCAGUUAGCUGAAAAAGAUAAUACAACGAGCAAUUUUCUACCAUGUGAUUAUAGCAUUGAUGUCAUAACGAGCAGGAUGUCUCUUGUGUACUAUGAAGAAUGCUACUUAUAUACUUGAUUUCUUCCAUUUCAGUGGUGGUAUGCUUAUGAUUUCUCCUUAUGAUUUCAGGCUUCGGCAACGACGAGCAUGUUCAGGCUAGACACUAGAAGAGUAUUGCAUACUCAGCUACUCCAAUCGUUUGGGCCUUUGGGAAUGGUGGACUCGAUUGCUGAAUCAGUAGUGCCAUGUCAUGCCCCCUAUAUUACCUUUGCCCAAAUCAAAGUGCAUAUAUUUCCACGAGACAGUUCAUGUUAAUGGACAGUAUCCAAGGGCAGUUCUGCGGUGGGAUUGACAGUUGCUUCUGCAGUUGGUCAAUCUUCCACUAAUCAAGAUCAUCUCCAGCCUUCCCCGCCACGCCUUGUCAGUUGCUUUAGCAGUUGGAGUACAAAAUAACAAGGGAUGUUGCCUUACUCUUCAGGGACGAUUCCUUCCUCUUCAGGUGGAGAGAAGUUGAGGUCUGGAAGAACCAUGGUGAUCUGCUGUGAUGCCAAGAGGAAGAAGGUGAUUGCUAGGCACGCGUGGAUCUGGAUGCGAUGGCCGGUGCUCUGUUGGGUAGGUGCUGGGCGCCCGUCGACCUGGAGGUGUGGAUGGUUUCCAGGAAGUGCGGCUAGGCAACCAGAUCGUUGGUGAAGGGGGAGGUGCAGGAGGGAGGUAGUGUGCCCUCUGAUCUCUGGUGACCUCCUGACCCUGGCGAAGCUCUGGACGAGGGGCGACGAGCUUCUGGCUAAGGGGACGACAGCCGGCUUCCGGGAUCGAUCGGACCUGGAACUAGCUGGGCGGAGGAGAAACAGCUGGAGGCCAGAGGGGGAGUCGCUGGCCGGAGAUGGUCGUUGGGCGGAGGAGAAACGGCAGGUCGCACGAUAGUAAAUAGCCCAUAUAGCAAUAAUAUGUUAAAUUCUACUAUGAUGGUGUUAAGGUAGAUAACUCAUAUACCUGGGAGCUAUAAAAUACAUAUAAAUAAGGCAAAGGGGUUAAAUAGAAAUUUAGGAUUUGGGCAUUCUAACUCCAAACCGUCCAGAUCUCCUGUAAGGUAGCCCCGUCCCCUGCUCUCAUGCCACUGUCAGGUGCUACCAAAUUAGAGCAGAGCAGCAGGUCCAUGGCUUAUGGCUUUGCUCAAAGAAGAUGGACCACCAAAACUGCAAAAAAAGUAGAACUACACAUUAUCGGUUUUCAACAUCCCUAUAUAGAGAAGCUUAGCCAAAGGAUAACACAGUAAUAUUAUUUCAUAUAUGUUAGUGUAUAUAAUUCCAAAAUUUGACUUUCAGUUUUCAGAUACCCUUCAUUUACAUUUUAUUUGUUCAGGUUUAUCUAAUUUUCAACUGUACCUCUACUCUAA